rnacentral:rRNA from 1 species
UACGUAGGGCGCAAGCGUUGUCCGGAAUUAUUGGGCGUAAAGAGCUCGUAGGCGGCUUGUCACGUCGAUUGUGAAAGCCCGAGGCUUAACCUCGGGUCUGCAGUCGAUACGGGCUAGCUAGAGUGUGGUAGGGGAGAUCGGAAUUCCUGGUGUAGCGGUGAAAUGCGCAGAUAUCAGGAGGAACACCGGUGGCGAAGGCGGAUUUCUGGACCAGUUCUGACACUGAUGAGCGAAAGCCAGGGGAGCAAACAGG